GACGAACCGUGCAAACGUUGUUCGGAAUCACUGGGCUUAAAGGGCGCGUAGGCGGGCAAGCAAGUCCGGGGUGAAAUCUUUCGGCUCAACCGGAAAAGUGCCUUGGAUACUGCUUGUCUGGAGGGAGGUAGGGGCAUGUGGAACUUCUGGUGGAGCGGUGAAAUGUGUUGAUAUCGGAAGGAACGCCGGUGGCGAAAGCGAUCCGCUGGACCUCUUCUGACACUGAGGCGCGAAAGCCAGGGGAGCAAACGGG
rnacentral:rRNA from 1 species